rnacentral:rRNA from 1 species
CGAGGGGAGUGAAAAAGAACCUGAAACCGUGUACGUACAAGCAGUGGGAGCACGCUUAGGCGUGUGACUGCGUACCUUUUGUAUAAUGGGUCAGCGACUUAUAUUCUGUAGCAAGGUUAACCGAAUAGGGGAGCCGAAGGGAAACCGAGUCUUAACUGGGCGUUAAGUUGCAGGGUAUAGACCCGAAACCCGGUGAUCUAGCCAUGGGCAGGUUGAAGGUUGGGUAACACUAACUGGAGGACCGAACCGACUAAUGUUGAAAAAUUAGCGGAUGACUUGUGGCUGGGGGUGAAAGGCCAAUCAAACCGGGAGAUAGCUGGUUCUCCCCGAAAGCUAUUUAGGUAGCGCCUCGUGAAUUCAUCUCCGGGGGUAGAGCACUGUUUCGGCAAGGGGGUCAUCCCGACUUACCAACCCGAUGCAAACUGCGAAUACCGGAGAAUGUUAUCACGGGAGACACACGGCGGGUGCUAACGUCCGUCGUGAAGAGGGAAACAACCCAGACCGCCAGCUAAGGUCCCAAAGUCAUGGUUAAGUGGGAAACGAUGUGGGAAGGCCCAGACAGCCAGGAUGUUGGCUUAGAAGCAGCCAUCAUUUAAAGAAAGCGUAAUAGCUCACUGGUCGAGUCGGCCUGCGCGGAAGAUGUAACGGGGCUAAACCAUGCACCGAAGCUGCGGCAGCGACGCUGAUGCGUUGUUGGGUAGGGGAGCGUUCUGUAAGCCUGCGAAGGUGUGCUGUGAGGCAUGCUGGAGGUAUCAGAAGUGCGAAUGCUGACAUAAGUAACGAUAAAGCGGGUGAAAAGCCCGCUCGCCGGAAGACCAAGGGUUCCUGUCCAACGUUAAUCGGGGCAGGGUGAGUCGACCCCUAAGGCGAGGCCGAAAGGCGUAGUCGAUGGGAAACAGGUUAAUAUUCCUGUACUUGGUGUUACUGCGAAGGGGGGACGGAGAAGGCUAUGUUGGCCGGGCGACGGUUGUCCCGGUUUAAGCGUGUAGGCUGGUUUUCCAGGCAAAUCCGGAAAAUCAAGGCUGAGGCGUGAUGACGAGGCACUGCGGUGCUGAAGCAACAAAUGCCCUGCUUCCAGGAAAAGCCUCUAAGCAUCAGGUAACAUCAAAUCGUACCCCAAACCGACACAGGUGGUCAGGUAGAGAAUACCAAGGCGCUUGAGAGAACUCGGGUGAAGGAACUAGGCAAAAUGGUGCCGUAACUUCGGGAGAAGGCACGCUGAUAUGUAGGUGAAGUCCCUCGCGGAUGGAGCUGAAAUCAGUCGAAGAUACCAGCUGGCUGCAACUGUUUAUUAAAAACACAGCACUGUGCAAACACGAAAGUGGACGUAUACGGUGUGACGCCUGCCCGGUGCCGGAAGGUUAAUUGAUGGGGUUAGCGCAAGCGAAGCUCUUGAUCGAAGCCCCGGUAAACGGCGGCCGUAACUAUAACGGUCCUAAGGUAGCGAAAUUCCUUGUCGGGUAAGUUCCGACCUGCACGAAUGGCGUAAUGAUGGCCAGGCUGUCUCCACCCGAGACUCAGUGAAAUUGAACUCGCUGUGAAGAUGCAGUGUACCCGCGGCAAGACGGAAAGACCCCGUGAACCUUUACUAUAGCUUGACACUGAACAUUGAGCCUUGAUGUGUAGGAUAGGUGGGAGGCUU